rnacentral:rRNA from 1 species
UACGUAGGGCGCAAGCGUUGUCCGGAAUUAUUGGGCGUAAAGAGCUCGUAGGCGGUUUGUCGCGUCUGCUGUGAAAAACUCGAGGCUCAACCUCGGGCUUGCAGUGGGUACGGGGCAGACUAGAGUGCGGUAGGGGAGACUGGAAUUCCUGGUGUAGCGGUGGAAUGCGCAGAUAUCAGGAGGAACACCCGUGGCUAAGGCGGCUCUCUAGUACGUG